rnacentral:misc_RNA from 1 species
CUUUUACUUUCUAUAAAGAUCGCAUAUAAGUCAUUUCUUUCUCCGCUGUGCUGUUGGGGGUAGUUUCUCAGAUGGUCCACAAGGAAGUUUCUGCCCAGUCUCCCUUUCAAUUCUGCUCUUCAGCUCUCUUAGUAUCCGAAUUUGGCCAAGCUUCUCAGGUGACAAUUUCUCCCAGUAGAUACCUUGAGGCUUGAGGAUGGUUGUGUUGGUGAAUAUGACUCGAGUGGGAGUGCAUAUGAUGUCAACAGGAACAUCAUGGAUCAACAAUUUCUCGACCGGAAUAU